AUUGAACGCUGGCGGCAGGCCUAACACAUGCAAGUCGAGCGGUAGCACAGAGAGCUUGCUCUCGGGUGACGAGCGGCGGACGGGUGAGUAAUGUCUGGGAAACUGCCUGAUGGAGGGGGAUAACUACUGGAAACGGUAGCUAAUACCGCAUAAUGUCGCAAGACCAAAGUGGGGGACCUUCGGGCCUCAUGCCAUCAGAUGUGCCCAGAUGGGAUUAGCUAGUAGGUGGGGUAAUGGCUCACCUAGGCGACGAUCCCUAGCUGGUCUGAGAGGAUGACCAGCCACACUGGAACUGAGACACGGUCCAGACUCCUACGGGAGGCAGCAGUGGGGAAUAUUGCACAAUGGGCGCAAGCCUGAUGCAGCCAUGCCGCGUGUGUGAAGAAGGCCUUCGGGUUGUAAAGCACUUUCAGCGGGGAGGAAGGCGGUGAGGUUAAUAACCUCAUCGAUUGACGUUACCCGCAGAAGAAGCACCGGCUAACUCCGUGCCAGCAGCCGCGGUAAUACGGAGGGUGCAAGCGUUAAUCGGAAUUACUGGGCGUAAAGCGCACGCAGGCGGUCCGUCAAGUCGGAUGUGAAAUCCCCGGGCUUAACCUGGGAACUGCAUUCGAAACUGGCAGGCUAGAGUCUUGUAGAGGGGGGUAGAAUUCCAGGUGUAGCGGUGAAAUGCGUAGAGAUCUGGAGGAAUACCGGUGGCGAAGGCGGCCCCCUGGACAAAGACUGACGCUCAGGUGCGAAAGCGUGGGGAGCAAACAGGAUUAGAUACCCUGGUAGUCCACGCCGUAAACGAUGUCGAUUUGGAGGUUGUGCCCUUGAGGCGUGGCUUCCGGAGCUAACGCGUUAAAUCGACCGCCUGGGGAGUACGGCCCGCAAGGUUAAAACUCAAAUGAAUUGACGGGGGCCCGCACAAGCGGUGGAGCAUGUGGUUUAAUUCGAUGCAACGCGAAGAACCUUACCUGGUCUUGACAUCCACAGAACUUUCCAGAGAUGGAUUGGUGCCUUCGGGAACUGUGAGACAGGUGCUGCAUGGCUGUCGUCAGCUCGUGUUGUGAAAUGUUGGGUUAAGUCCCGCAACGAGCGCAACCCUUAUCCUUUGUUGCCAGCGGUCCGGCCGGGAACUCAAAGGAGACUGCCAGUGAUAAACUGGAGGAAGGUGGGGAUGACGUCAAGUCAUCAUGGCCCUUACGACCAGGGCUACACACGUGCUACAAUGGCAUAUACAAAGAGAAGCGACCUCGCGAGAGCAAGCGGACCUCAUAAAGUAUGUCGUAGUCCGGAUUGGAGUCUGCAACUCGACUCCAUGAAGUCGGAAUCGCUAGUAAUCGUAGAUCAGAAUGCUACGGUGAAUACGUUCCCGGGCCUUGUACACACCGCCCGUCACACCAUGGGAGUGGGUUGCAAAAGAAGUAGGUAGCUUAACCUUCGGGAGGGCGCUUACCACUUUGUGAUUCAUGACUGGGGUG
rnacentral:rRNA from 1 species